GUUGAACGCUGGCGGCGGGCUUAACACAUGCAAGUCGAGCGGAUGAAGGGCGCUUGCUUCUGGAUUCAGCGGCGGACGGGUGAGUAAUGCCCAGGAGUCUGACUGGUAGUGGGGGAUCACGUCCGGUAAUGGGCGCUAAUACCGCAUACGUCCUGAGGGUGAAAGAGGGGGAUCUUCGGAUCUCUCGCUAUCUGUGGAGACCAGGUCGGAUUAGCUAGUUGGUGGGGUAAAGUCCUCUCAAGGCGACGAUCCGUAACCGGUCUGAGAGGCUGAUCAGUCACACUGGAACGGGAACACGGUCCAGACUCCUGCGAGAGGGAGCAGUGGCGAACAUUGGACAGUGGGCGAAAUGCUGAAUCAGGCAUACCGCGUGUGUGAAGAAGGUCUUGGGAUUGUAAAGCACUUUAAGUGGGUAGGAAUGUCAGUAAGUUAAAACCUUGCUGUUUUUACGGUACCAACAGAAUGAGGACCGGCUAACUUCGUG
rnacentral:rRNA from 1 species